UCCGUGUUAAUAUAUUAAAAGUGGCAUUCAAAGUGCACCUCGACUUGACACAGUUGGGUGCAAUGGUGCACUGCCACUGGACGAUUCGUUUUCAGGAUUUUCUACCCAUGCCCAUCGACUGAAUCGGAGACGUCACUCGCAUCCUUAUUAUCCUUGACAGCAGUGAAAAUUUAAACUGUCAAAAGUGCGGGCAAUGGACUAUUUUGGUGCCAAGGAUAACGCUUUCGCAUGCAAUUUUCGAUUAAACAGAGAGGGAGAGAGCGAGCGAAAGUGUGCAAACUGACACUCUGGGACAGCUCCCACCACCCGCCACCCCAUGCCACGGUUUAUUCCCAGUCUGACGAAAUUGCGUGUUAAAUUCGCUCGAAUUAUUCACUAUCCCACCCCAGCACUUUGACACUCCUCAACGACUGAGGCAGCAGGUGCCACACCCCCCAAUUCGCUACACAUAUCCAACAUACAUACAUUCAUAUGUACAUCUGUAUAUAUGUAUAUACAUAUAGCAGACACUGUUGUUGACUUUUGCCUACUACGCAGUUGAUUUCACAGCAUCAUCGCGGGGAAGAAUACCCCCAGACCCGUACCGGUGCCUCACCACUUACUCCCAUGCCCUGUCCCAAGUCGUAAUGGAGAGAGCCUGUCCGUCGAAUCGAUGGAAUGGGGCCUGCGCACAGUCCACCCUCUGGAUGUCAUUCACGAAAACAUGCGAUGCAGAUGUGGGCUGGAGAUGAUCCAUCAGGAUGGAUGCUCUGAGACGUGCUAUGUCUACGCCACGCUACGUAAUUGUUGCUUCGACAUCUGUUGUCCAAAAAAGAAGAGCACCGACAGGGUCCAAAGUUAUGAGUGCAGAAGGGGAGCAAUGGAAACAGGAGCAGAAGCUACCUACAUACGAGUAUGUGGGUCAUCUAUUUUUAGGACCAAGGGACUCUAUCCGUCCGGGGAUCUGCUUGCCGGAUCAUCUGUUGGUGGCCUUGAACACUAGGUUGCAAUUUCCCCCAAAGAAGAUAGAAAAGUUUAAUAACAUUUGUGUAUAUACUUUGACAAUUUCAAGAAUUCUCUAGAACUAUUGCCCGUUUCCGUUUUGGGAUUGCCGGCAAUUUUCCUUUUCCAUUUCUAUUUCGUAAUCUGAUUUUCAAUCACAUCAUUUCCUUUUCUUUUCGAUGGCUUCGACCCAAUAUGUACAUACAUUGUGUAAUGCAUUUUGGCGAAACGCGGUGGAAAUUUUACGGCUGAAAGAAAAUGCGCAGAGCACAAACGAAAACCGUAACAAAUGUGGGGGAAAAAUGGUUGAGAAAACUGCAGCAAGGGAUAGGGGUAGGUAGUUUCACAUAGUUUUCAUAAUAAGCGCAUGAAUAAGCGAAAGUUUCGCGAGCAGAAGGGAAACCAGGCUCAAACCAUAGAGAAAAAUCCUUAAAAUCCAUUUCAACGCUGCUCUCUCAAUCACCCUUGCUCACAUGCAACAUGCAACAUUGUCAAAGGACACCUACA